AUCCCAUUGAUGGUGUCUACUGGAACGGGGAGUCGGUCAGAUCCUAAUGUGCCUGGUAUUGCUGCAUUCUAUCAUGCUCAAGGGCAGCAGUUCAUCCAUGCAGAAACAGUGCCUCACAGAAAGAUUCAACCUAAUCAUCUCCCAAGUUUAUACCAGACCAAUAUUUACCAGAUUGUGCAGAGGAGCACAAGACUUAUAGAUGCACAGAAUGUUGUUCUGUCCAACAACGUUCCUGGAGUACUGCAAUAACCCAUACUUUAUGAAUGAGUCUCUUGGGCAGCUCACGUCACUCCUGAGCCACUCAGCUCCUUCCAAAGAUGUCC